UCACACUAGAUUUGCGGUUGAAAACAUUUUUUUUCUUUAAACCACAAGAAGCCUGUCUUCAAAAGAAGUCUUGCCGGGAAGCAGAAACAAAGGAGGUACCUGUGAGCUGGGCUGCUCUAAUCAAAAGGGGAGAAGUGAGUUCUAGAAACCUGCCCACCAAGGUGGGGCUUUACUAAGCAGGGUCUGAAACCCAUUUGCUAUCAUCGCCUAAGCCAGUUAGUAGAGAUGCAGCCGAUGAUGGCCUCCUGCCUUCUCCCAACCUGCCUUUGUCCUUAAGAGGAGAACAAGGCCCAACAUGUUUGCUGAGGCCUCUCCUGGGGAGAAGAUGCAUGUGAGGAUAUGAGAAGAAAGCCAUCUGCAAACCAGGAAGAGGGCUCUCAUCAGAACAGAAGCUGCCAGGACCUUGAUCUUGGACUUUCAGCUUCCAGAACUGUGCGAAAAGCAGUUUGGAGGCAAUGUCACAAAUCCUGGGCCCAGGCUUGAAUAAAGCUGGCAAGUUCCUUUCCUUGCUGAUCCACAGUGAAAACGUGAUGGCCAAAGUAGAUGAAGUGAAGUCCAUAAUUAAAUUCCCAGUUGAAGAUGGUGUGGCGUCUGGCAGUGGCUAUCGGCCAUGUGAAGAUGACAGAGGAUGAGCUUGGGCACAACAUCCACUUAGCUGUCAAUUUCCUGGUACCAUUGCUCAAGAAGAAUUGACAGAACAUCCAGGCUUUAUACCUCAAGAGCACCACGGGCAAGUCCCAGAGCCUGUACUAAGGCACAACUUAAUAAACCCUAGCGCUACCACUAAAUAAAUCUAUCUAUCAUCUAUCUAUCUAUCAUCUAUCUAUCUAUCUAUCUAUCUAUCAUCUAUCUACCUCACUCCUUCAGACCAUCCACCAAUUUUGUAAGAACUCAGUACUGGAAUGAAAUCCCUCUCUGCUUUAAAUAUCUAGAGUGGCUUCUGUAUUCUGAGUGAAUUCUGUCUGGUACAGAAGAGAUAGAUACUUGGGACCCCAUUUGGACCAAGGAGAGACGUGUCACAGAAUUUCAUUCCAAAAGUUGAUAAAUAGAGGCUAACUUUCCAAUGGAGUUGGAGGUUAUGAGGCCAGAGCAGCUGGCAGCCAUCUUGCCUUCACAAAAGAGCUUGUGUGAGAAAAGUACCAAUUAGGGGGCCAAGCCAAGAGAUAAGAGAAGCCUGACCUUGACACCAUUUAGGUAAUUGAAUCAAGUAAUAUGUUGUGCCAAACCUUUCCCUGGACUUUCCAGUUAUAUGAGCCAAUACAUUCCUCCUUCUCUCUGAGACAGCUGGAGUUGAGCUAGUCUAUCAUUUGACCAAAACGUAACUUAUUUGGCAUAAUGAUGACCACAGGAGAGAAAUAACAGAGCAGCAGUGGUCAGAUUGCUAUAGAUCACAUAUUCUCAAUCAGUGGUCUGCAUCGUACAAGUGAACAGGUCUGGGCCUGGGCCUUCUAGGUCACAUGAGGGACACGUGAACAAUUGGAAAAUUCUCCCAGGUGAGCUGGUUCCCACGUGUACCCCUGGUGAACAUGGCUACUGUGGAUCAACUCACAAGGAAGGGAGAACAAAACAGUGGCCGUUUCUUGAGAACACUGGAAUGUUUGAAUCUUAGUUUCAAGCAUUAUUUUUUUUUACUUAAUUUUUAUUUUCUCCUUUUAGGGUUAAAAAAACAGUAUUAUAACCACCAGAUGAGAAUACUAUCAACUGAAAUAUUUCAGCCCAGCUUGUGUAAGCUGAAGCAGCUGGGCCAUUUUUUAAAAAAUUAUAAUAAAUAAGUGAAUACAUAAUCAAUCCCUCGAGUGCCAGCUCUCUAUUCUGUUUGCUCCCAGAGCUGUGAUUUUUCAUCUUUAUUCUGUGCCCCCAGAAAGAAAAGCAACAUAGGGAAAAAUGUUGACAGACUGUUCUCUGUGACAUCAACCAACAGAAAAAGCUAAAUUGUUGAUGCUCAUUCCAGAAGACAUUUCUACUGUGGGUUUUGGUGGGUGCAGAUUUAGAAUAACCCUUCCUUUUCUGGAUUAAAUAUUAACUAUUUAAUACAAAAAGCCACCUGAGAAGAAAACCCAAAUGUUUUGAUGUCUGCAAUGUGUGUCUGCAAUGUGUGCAAAACACAACAGCGGCAGAAAUAGGCCUAUGGAGUGUAGUUAACAAGCACAGAACUAAAUAUUGAUCAAGCAUUUCUCAAGUGCCCGGCCAGGUCUCCUGCAGCCAAAGAUGAGCCCGACAUGCUCCAUUGGUUCAAGAAAUUUACUGUCUACAGAGGAACAGACUUGGUGAAAAAACAUAAUCACUUGAUAGAGGAUUUCAUCUUUGGAAUCAAACAAAACUUAUUCAAAGACACAUCUGAAGCAUAAGCUGAGUGAUCAAACCAGCUGACUCUGAGGUUUGACUCUUAGGAUGGCUCUGAAGUCAGUUCCCAAAGAUGAUUACUGCAAAUAUCAUAAGCAUCCUAGAAUGUGUGUGUUAGCUCCAAAAGUACCACUUUGAAGGGGCAAAUUCAUUUCACAUAUAAGUUCCAGUUUGUGGGGGUUUUUUUGUGGGUUUUUUUUUUCUGGUUUUUGUUUUUAGGAACAUAUACAAGCAAAAGAAAUCCCAUGAUUAAAUGCUUGGUUGACAGAAUUCUUCCCUAAACGGAAUUUCUUCAAGAUGUCCCUGGAUGCGAAUACUUAUUAGGCCACAUAAGCAUUAACAUUCAAUUAUACUGGCCCAUUGCCUGUGCCUUGGCAUCCCCUGUAAGGCUCCUGCUGGGUAUUGCUGGAGACUUGUCUAUGUGAAAGAACAAUCUCUGCUCUCAGGCCCUUCUGCCUGGCCCCUCACUGCGGACCACUGCCCCCAAAGCCACUCAUGGCCAUUUUGGCCAGGAUAUCUGGAAGCAGUGCCUUCCUCCUUGAGCUCCUGGACACCCUGCAGAUAUGGGGAGAUAGACCUCUAUCCCAAUCCUGCCUUGUAUUUUGUCCUCAGGACCCGAGUCUUGGAAGCUCCCACUGCAAGCAGGUCACUGACCUGCCUGUAGCUUCUUUCCAAUCCCAGCCCCUCUACUACAAAGCAGGAGUCCUAGACAGCACACCAUCCAGCUCCACUCCCUCCCCACCAGGGUCUGAACUGAAGUCCACAUAACCUCCUCUCUUUCUGCACACUGACCCCUGAGGAGCUGGCUACCAGCUUGUGGCUCUGCCAGAUAACACAUUCCCAUUAGGUUCAGCUACUUCUAAAAUAAAGAUCAGGCAAAAGUCUGAAGAAGUGAGAUUCCCUCCUAACACUUCUCUUGAUUUCUGACAGAGCUGACUUGAGGUCAAAGCUUACAAUGAGUUAACAGAAUGGGUUCUGGGCAGGAGGCUGCCACUCUCCAUUGAAAGGGUGGGGACGGUGUCUGCGAUUGACUGUGCAAUUGAGACAGCUCACAGACUCCAGGCGGCAGGGACGUCCAACAACUCACAAGGCCAAGGAAAA